GCUAUGGAGGGGGCUCCAGCUAUGGAGGGGGCUGUGGUCAGUCCUCUGGAGGCUGCUGCGGAGGAGGCUCCAGCUCUGGAGGAAGCUGUGGUCAGUCCUCUGGAGGCUGCUGCUGACCUUGAUCCUACCUCAAUUUCUCCCUGAGCUCCCUGAAUGGCAGAGGGGUCCUAGCAAAACUUGAACUUUGUUCUAGAAGUUCCCUCUACCCUAGUAUCCAGAAGCCCAACACCUCUCUCUAAAACCCAGUUUCUGACCUCCUUCCCCAUAUCUGUGGCUGCCCUGGGAAUCCCUAAGCACAGAUCCUAUGUCCCCUUGAAGCUCACGUUAUUGUAUUCUCAUGCUUGAAUUGAAAAAUAAAUACAGAAUCUGCUCACUAA